UAAGAAGGGGGCUAGCGUUGUUCGGAAUCACUGGGCGUAAAGCGCACGCAGGCGGACUGUCAAGUCAGGGGUGAAAGCCCGGGGCUCAACCUCGGAACUGCCUCUGAUACUGUCAGUCUAGAGUCCGGGAGAGGUGGGUGGAAUUCCUAGUGUAGAGGUGAAAUUCGCAGAUAUUAGGAAGAACACCGGUGGCGAAGGCGGCCCACUGGUCCGGAACUGACGCUGAGGUGCGAAAGCGUGGGGAGCAAACAGG
rnacentral:rRNA from 1 species